GGCGACUGGAGCAGCGGCGUAGGUGGCGACUGGGGCGGCGUGGGCAACAGUGGUCACAGCUGGGGCAGCAGCGUAGGUGGCGACUGGGGCGGCGUGGGCAACAGUGGUAGCCACAGCUGGGGCAGCAGCGUAGGUGGCGACUGGGGCAGCGUGAACGGCGGUCACGGCUGGAGCAGCGUGGU